rnacentral:ncRNA from 1 species
GACUUCGAAGCAGGAACGCCAGUUCUUGUGGAGUCAACCUUGAAAUACCACCCUGAUUUAUUUGAAGUUCUAACCUAGGUCCAUUAUCUGGAUUGGGGACAGUGUCUGGUGGGUAGUUUGACUGGGGCGGUCUCCUCCUAAAGAGUAACGGAGGAGCACGAAGGUACCCUCAGCCUGGUCGGAAAUCAGGCAAUGAGUGCAAUGGCAUAAGGGUGCUUGACUGCGAGACGUACAAGUCGAGCAGGUACGAAAGUAGGUCAUAGUGAUCCGGUGGUUCUGUAUGGAAGGGCCAUCGCUCAACGGAUAAAAGGUACUCCGGGGAUAACAGGCUGAUACCGCCCAAGAGUUCAUAUCGACGGCGGUGUUUGGCACCUCGAUGUCGGCUCAUCACAUCCUGGGGCUGAAGCAGGUCCCAAGGGUAUGGCUGUUCGCCAUUUAAAGUGGUACGCGAGCUGGGUUCAGAACGUCGUGAGACAGUUCGGUCCCUAUCUGCCAUGGGCGUUUGAGAUUUGAGGGAAGCUGCUCCUAGUACGAGAGGACCGGAGUGGACGCACCACUGGUGUUCCAGUUGUCAUGCCAAUGGCAUUGCUGGGUAGCUAUGUGCGGACAGGAUAACCGCUGAAAGCAUCUAAGCGGGAAGCCCCUCCCAAGAUGAGAUCUCACUGGGACUUUAAGUCCCCUAAAGGGUUGUCGAAGACUACGACGUUGAUAGGCACGGUGUGGAAGUCCAGUAAUGGAUGUAGCUAACGUGUACUAAUUGCCCGUGAGGCUUGACCAU